rnacentral:rRNA from 1 species
AACGUACGCUGGCGGCACGCCUAACACAUGCAAGUCGAACGAAGUAGCAAUACUUAGUGGCAGACGGGUGAGUAACAUGUAGGUAUCUGCCCUUUGGCCUGGAAUAACACGAGGAAACUUGUGCUAAUACCGGAUAAGUCUUUACGGAGAAAGCUUUAUGCACCAUUGGAUGAGCCUGCACUUGAUUAGUUUGUUGGUGGGGUAAUGGCCUACCAAGACUGUGAUCAAUAGCUGAUUUGAGAGGAUGAUCAGCCACAUUGGGACUGAGACACGGCCCAAACUCCUACGGGAGGCAGCAGUGGGGAAUCUUGCACAAUGGAGGAAACUCUGAUGCAGCGAUGCCGCGUGAGUGAAGAAGGCCCUUGGGUUGUAAAGCUCUUUCGUCGGGGAAGAAAAUGACUGUACCCGAAUAAGAAGGUCCGGCUAACUUCGUGCCAGCAGCCGCGGUAAUACGAAGGGACCUAGCGUAGUUCGGAAUUACUGGGCUUAAAGAGUUCGUAGGUGGUUGAAAAAGUUAGUGGUGAAAUCCCAGAGCUUAACUCUGGAACUGCCAUUAAAACUUUUCAGCUAGAGUAUGAUAGAGGAAAGCAGAAUUUCUAGUGUAGAGGUGAAAUUCGUAGAUAUUAGAAAGAAUACCAAUUGCGAAGGCAGCUUUCUGGAUCAUUACUGACACUGAGGAACGAAAGCAUGGGUAGCGAAGAGGAUUAGAUACCCUCGUAGUCCAUGCCGUAAACGAUGUGUGUUAGACGUUGGAAAUUUAUUUUCAGUGUCGCAGGGAAACCGAUAAAUACACCGCCUGGGGAGUACGACCGCAAGGUUAAAACUCAAAUGAAUUGACGGGGACCCGCACAAGUAGUGGAGCAUGUGGUUUAAUUCGAAGAUACGCGCAGAACCUUACCAACACUUGACAUGUUCGUCGCGACUCUAAGAGAUUAGAGUUUUCGGUUCGGCCGGACGAAACACAGGUGCUGCAUGGCUGUCGUCAGCUCGUGUCGUGAGAUGUUGGGUUAAGUCCCGCAACGAGCGCAACCCUCACUUUUAGUUGCCAUCAUUAAGUUGGGCACUCUGAAAGAACUGCCAGUGAUAAGCUGGAGGAAGGUGGGGAUGACGUCAAGUCCUCAUGGCCCUUACGUGUUGGGCUACACACGUGCUACAAUGGUAUCUACAACAGGAAGCAAGACUGCGAAGUUAAGCAAAUCCCUAAAAGAUACCUCAGUUCGGAUUGCACUCUGCAACUCGAGUGCAUGAAGCUGGAAUUACUAGUAAUCGUGGAUCAGCGUGCCACGGUGAAUGCGUUCCCGGGUCU